rnacentral:rRNA from 1 species
UACGUAGGGGGCAAGCGUUGUCCGGAUUUAUUGGGCGUAAAGAGCGUGUAGGCGGCCUGACAGGUCUGCUGUGAAAACUCGAGGCUCAACCUCGAGAUGUCGGCGGAAACCGUCUGGCUAGAGUCCGGAAGAGGAGAGUGGAAUUCCUGGUGUAGCGGUGAAAUGCGCAGAUAUCAGGAAGAACACCAAUGGCGAAAGCAGCUUUCUGGGACGGUACUGACGCUGAGACGCGAAAGCGUGGGGAGCGAACAGG